rnacentral:rRNA from 1 species
UACGUAGGGGGCAAGCGUUGUCCGGAAUUAUUGGGCGUAAAGAGCGUGUAGGCGGCCAGAUAAGUCCGCUGUGAAAUCUCGAGGCUCAACUUCGAGCUGUCGGUGGAAACUAUCUGGCUAGAGUCCGGAAGAGGAGAAUAGAAUUCCUGGUGGUAGCGGUGAAAUGCGCAGAUAUCAGGAAGAACACCCGUGGCGAAGGCGGGUCUCUGGACAGUUCCUGACGCUGAGGCGCGAAGGCCAGGGGAGCAAAACGGG